rnacentral:rRNA from 1 species
UGCGGGGGCGUUUAUACAUGCAGUCGAGCGAACUGAUUAGAAGCUUGCUUCUAUGACGUUAGCGGCGGACGGGUGAGUAACACGUGGGCAACCUGCCUGUAAGACUGGGAUAACUUCGGGAAACCGAAGCUAAUACCGGAUAGGAUCUUCUCCUUCAUGGGAGAUGAUUGAAAGAUGGUUUCGGCUAUCACUUACAGAUGGGCCCGCGGUGCAUUAGCUAGUUGGUGAGGUAACGGCUCACCAAGGCAACGAUGCAUAGCCGACCUGAGAGGGUGAUCGGCCACACUGGGACUGAGACACGGCCCAGACUCCUACGGGAGGCAGCAGUAGGGAAUCUUCCGCAAUGGACGAAAGUCUGACGGAGCAACGCCGCGUGAGUGAUGAAGGCUUUCGGGUCGUAAAACUCUGUUGUUAGGGAAGAACAAGUACAAGAGUAACUGCUUGUACCUUGACGGUACCUAACCAGAAAGCCACGGCUAACUACGUGCCAGCAGCCGCGGUAAUACGUAGGUGGCAAGCGUUAUCCGGAAUUAUUGGGCGUAAAGCGCGCGCAGGCGGGUUUCUUAAGUCUGAUGUGAAAGCCCACGGUUCAACCGGGGAAGGGUCAUUGGAAACUGGGGAACUUGAGUGCAGAAGAGAAAAAGCGGGAAUUCCACGUGUAGCGGUGAAAUGCGUAGAGAUGUGGGAGGAACACCAGUGGCGAAGCCGGCUUUUUGGUCUGUAACUGACGCUGAGGCGCGAAAGCGUGGGGGAGCAAACAGGAUUAAUGC